rnacentral:rRNA from 1 species
CAGUAGCCACGGUAAAACGAAGGGGGCUAGCGUUGCUCGGAAUGACUGGGCGUAAAGGGCACGUAGGCGGCGAUCAAAGUCAGGCGUGAAAUUCCUGGGCUCAACCUGGGGGCUGCGUUUGAUACUUGAUUGCUAGAGUGGGGAAGAGGGUCGUGGAAUUCCCAGUGUAGAGGUGAAAUUCGUAGAUAUUGGGAAGAACACCGGUGGCGAAGGCGGCGACCUGGUCCUUUACUGACGCUGAGGCGCGAAAGCGUGGGGAGCAAACAGGAUUAGAUACCCCAGUAGUCCCUGUCUCUUAUAC